AUACGUAGGGAGCGAGCGUUGUCCGGAUUUACUGGGUGUAAAGGGUGCGUAGGCGGCGCCACAAGUCAGGUGUGAAAACUAUCGGCUUAACUGAUAGACUGCAUUUGAAACUGUGGCGCUUGAGUGGAGCAGAGGCAGGCGGAAUUCCCGGUGUAGCGGUGAAAUGCGUAGAGAUCGGGAGGAACACCAGUGGCGAAAGCGGCCUGCUGGGCUUUAACUGACGCUGAGGCACGAAAGCAUGGGUAGCAAACAGGAUUAGAUACCCUGGUAGUCCAUGCCGUAAACGAUGAUUACUAGGUGUGGGGGGUCUGACCCCCUCCGUGCCGGAGUUAACACAAUAAGUAAUCCACCUGGGGAGUACGACCGCAAGGUUGAA
rnacentral:rRNA from 1 species